GAUCAUGGCUCAGGAUGAACGCUGGCGGCGUGCCUAACACAUGCAAGUCGAACGGAACUAAGCGCUUCGGAGACUUCGGUCAAUGUUGCUGGUUUAGUGGCGGACGGGUGAGUAACGCGUGGAUAACCUGCCUCAUACAGGGGGAUAACAGUUAGAAAUGACUGCUAAUACCGCAUAAGCGCACGGAAUCGCAUGUUUCUGUGUGAAAAGCUCCGACGGUAUGAGAUGGAUCCGCGUCUGAUUAGCUAGUUGGCGGGGUAACAGCCCACCAAGGCGACGAUCAGUAGCCGGCCUGAGAGGGUGAACGGCCACAUUGGGACUGAGACACGGCCCAAACUCCUACGGGAGGCAGCAGUGGGGGAUAUUGCACAGUGGGGGAAACCCUGAUGCAGCCGACGCCGCGUGAGUGAAGAAGUAUUUCGGUAUGUAAAGCUCUAUCAGCAGGGAAGAUAAUGACGGUACCUGACUAAGAAGCACCGGCUAAAUACGUGCCAGCAGCCGC
rnacentral:rRNA from 1 species